UCUGUCUUCCUUCUUUGUGGAGCUCUGAGAUUAAUGUUUACAAAGAUUGGUAGAUUCAUAAGUGAAAUGUACAUGAUAGAUAUGAUUAUGAUUAGUUUAAAAGAAAAAUAUAACACACAGUCUUUAGAAAUAGCAUCAAAAGAGCUUUUAUUUUCAGUCAUAUGAAGAAUGAAGACUCUACAUAUGAGAAAAGAGCUUUUAGAGGCCAUGGCCCCUUCUACCGUCUUCAAAGCCAGCAAUUUGCUAUCUUCAAAUCAAUCGAUCUCUCUCCAUUGCCAUGUCUCCUACAAUGACUCUAACCUGUUGUCUCUGCCUUAUGAGACUCGUAUUUUACCUUUGACUCAUCUGGAUAAUCCAGGAAUGAUGUUCCCCAUCUGUAGAUCCUUAACACAAUCACAUCCUAAAAUUUGCUUCUGCCAUGUAAGAUGAACUAACAUGAAGAAUGCCACGUGAGAAUGACGAUGAUUCAAAUAAUAGCUGCCACUGAGAAGAAUCUAUUAAUUGAUUACCAGCUGAAUGGAAUCAGUUUCUCCAGAGAGUGAGUACACUAGCUGGAAGUCUUUAUCAACCAGAAGUUGACCCCCCUACGAGACCGGCCUCAACCACUGAAUGGGAAAAGGAAAAAGAAGAGAGGGUAGAAGGUGAAGAAAUGGAAAGGAAAUCAUGAAAAGAAUCAUGCAAAAGCAAAGUUCCAAAGUAAGACUUCACUUUGAUAUGCAGCUUUGAAAUGUGGGAGGCACUUAAAUCAAAAUAACUAAAUCAAGUUCAGUGAAUACACUCAACUUGUGACUCUGAACUUAACUUCAAAGGUAGCAAUGUUCCUAAGUAGGCCCAUCAUUUUCUUACUUUGAGAAAUUUAUCAACAUAGUGGGUUUUGAGAUAAACCUGAUUGAUAUACUUAGGAAUAACACAAAAAGUUUGGUUCUGUUCUUUUGAUUUUCCACAGAUUACACUGAUGAGUUCUUUUCUAACAAGAGGAAUUACUCCUUCAUCCCACAUUAGCUAAGUCUCAGCUAUGUGUAGAGGAUACAGAGAUGAAGGGAACUUGUGUCCACACUGCAAAGAUGCUCUGUUGGGUGUGCCAACAUCCUUACCCUGUGCCCUGAGAUGUGGACCACUAACAGGCUCCCUUCUUCUCUGGCUUCCCAUUAGGAAACCAUCAGAAGUGGUGGGAGAUUAGCAGUAGAACAAGAUUAAAGAUUUAUGUUUAUAGCUUUCUUCCUAAAGGGCCUGUCAGCAUCUAUCGUGCAUUAUCUCCACAUCCCUGAGUCUUGAUAACAGCUCCCUCUCUAAUACUACUAUGUUUUGAGUAUAGUUUGCCCCAUCAAAGCUCUUGUUUACACUACAUCCCUAAUAUAAUGAUGUUGAGAGGUGGUGGGGCCUAUGAAAGUCAUUUGGUGUCACGGGGCAUCCAUUCUCAUGACCAGAUUUAUUUCUUUCUCACAGGACUGUGUUAUUUCUCUCAAGACUAAAUUAGUUCUCAAAGGACACUUUGGCUACCACAAAAACAAGUUUUUUUUUUAACUUUUAUUUAAUAAAUAUAAAUUUCCAAAGUACAGCUUUUGGAUUAUAGUGGCUUUUUCACCCCCAUAACUUCCCUCCCACCAACAACCCUUCCAUCUCCCGCUCCCUCUCCCAUCCCGUUCACAUCAAGAUUCAUUUUCAAUUAUCUUUAUAUACAGAAGAUCAAUUUAGUAUAUAUUAAGUAAAGGUUUCAAAAGUUUGCACCCACACAGAAACACAAAGUAUAAAGUACUGUUUGAGUACUAGCUAUACCACUAAUUCACAUAGUUCAACACAUUAAAGACAGAGAUCCUACAUAGGGAGUAAGUGUACAGUGACUCCUGUUGUUGACUUAACAAUUGACGCUCUUAUUUAUGGCGUCAGUAAUCACCCGAGGCUCUAGUCAUGAGUUGCCAAAGCUAUGGAAGCCUAUUUAGUUUGCCACCUCUGAUCUUAUUUAGACAAGGUCAUAGUCAAAGUGGAAGUUCUCUCCUCCCUUCAGAGAAAGGUACCUCCUUCUUUGAUGGCCCGUUCUUUCCACUGGGAUCUCACUCGCAGAGAUCUUUCAUUUAGGUCUUUUUUUCCCCAGAGUGUCUUGGCUUUCCAUGCCCAAAAUACUCUCAUGGGCUCUUCAGCCAUAUCUGAAUGCCUUAAGGGCUGAUUCUGGGGCCAGAAUUCUGUUUAGGGCAUUUGUCAUUCUAUGAAUCUACUGUGUAUCCUGCUUCCCAUGUUGGAUCAUUCUCUCCUUUUUAAUUCUAUCAGUUAGUAUUAGCAGACACUAGUCUUGUUUAUGUGAUCCUGUGACUUUUAAUCCUAUCAUUAUGAUCAAUUGUGAACUGAAAUUGGUCACUUUGACUAGUGAGAUGGCAUUGGUACAUGCCACCUUGAUGGGAUUGAAUUGGGAUCUCCUGGCACGUUUCUAACUCUACCAUUAGGGGCAAGUCCGAUUGAGCAUGUCCCAAACUGUACAUCUCCUCCUUCUCUUAUUCCCAGUCUUAUAUUUAACAGGGAUCACUUUUCAGUUAAAUUUAAAGAAUGUUAAAGAGUUCAACCAAUGGUAUUAAGUAGAACAAACAAAUUCUAAAAGGGAUAAAGUAUUAAGUUGUUCAUCAACAUUCAUGACAAGGGCUGAUCAAGUCAUUUUUUCUCAUAGUGUCCAUUUCACUUCAACAGGUUUCCUAUUUGGUGCUUGGUUAGUUGUCACCCAUCAGGGAGAACAUAUGAUAUUUGUCCCUUUGGAACUGGCUUAUUUCACUCAGCAUGAUGUUUUCCAGAUUUCUCCAUUUUGUUGCAAAUGAUUGGAUUUCAUUGUUUUUGACUGCUGUGUAGUAUUCUAUAGCAUACAUAUCCCAUAAUUUCUUUAUCCAGUCUACUAUUGAUGGGCAUUUGGGUUGGUUCCAGGUCUUAGCUAUUGUGAAUUGAGCUGUAAUAAACAUUAAGGUGCAGACAGCUUUUUUAUUUGCCAAUUUAAUUUCCCUUGGGUAAAUUCCAAGGAGUGGGAUAGCUGGGUUGUAUGGUAGUGGUGCACCCCCUCCCUCUCUUCCGCAUGUGCCCCUCUGCAUGUUCCCAUUUUCCCUUCUUAUUCUGCAAUGGCGUGAUGCAGCACGGGUCCUUUAGCCAGAAACUGAGCAGAUGCCAGCCCUCUGGUCUUGGACUUUCCAAUCUCUAGAACUGUGAGUCAAAAGAAACAUCUUUCCUUUAUAAUUGACCUAGCCUCAGGUGUUUUGUUAUAGAAGCAGAAAAAGAACUAAGCAAAAACCUUUCAGGUUGAAGGUGGGUAUUGGGUAAUUGGCCUAGGACCGUCUUACUAGUCUUAGGUACUCUGCCAUCCCAAUGGCUUCCGUACACUGUGCCCACUUUUUUUUUUUUGUAAAUAGUUCUUUCAUUAAACUCUCUGCCAAUGGUAUAACUUUUAAGUAUACUAUCUUUUUUCCCUGUGAGACCUUGUUACUGUCAGAAAGUCACACAUACCUGAUUUUCUGUCCUAGAUUCUUGGUCAUUAAAUUUAACCUAAGGAAGUUUGAAAUAAGAUUUAAAACAUCAAAUGAAAUUUAAAACUGCCUACCUUCUUGUAGGGAAGGCUCAUAACACUUCCCUUCUCCCAUGAGAAAAAGCAUUCUAUUUCCUGGGUGGCCUCUGAGAUCAAGGCCUCCCCACCUCAACUUCCAGGGCGAACAUCUUAAGUAGCAUCUGGUGGGGAGGACCAACAUAAGCUUGUAGAACACCAAGGAACACACCUGUUUUUUUUGAUCAUGAACCAGUUGUGUGUGUUUACUCAUGAGCUAUUUAAUGUUGUGCACUCUGCAGGGGCAGUGCAGAUUACUGACUGAUGGAGUGCCACCAGUCACUUCUUAAGAGCGAUAAACCCAUGUCUCUCCCAAUCAGACUUUGGUUGGUUUCUCUGGAAUUAAUCAACGUUGUAUAUGAGUCCCCUUGAGCUCAGAUAAUGCAACACCCCAACAACCAUAUAUAGCAUAAAUAAUCAUUACUGUAAGUAAAAAAUAGCACACAGUUUAAUUCAUAGUUCAUUAGGGAGUUUAUUAAUUAGAAGCUUAAUUAAAUAGGAUUGAUAGUAGUAAAGCCAUAUUAAAAAUGAAAGGCCUGAUUUAUAUAAUUAUAUAUGUAUUGUUCUCCAUAUGUAGACAUAUAUGGAUUAAUGGCUCACUAAAUAUUCUAGAACAGAGGUCCAGCCAUAUAGUUUUCAAUUUUAGUGAACAUUGCUACUUGUUUCUAAUGCUCUCAAACACAUGUACACAAUGUCAUUUUAUUUUAUAGGAUAAACAUUUUCCCUUCCUUGUUAUUCCUAUUUUUACACACCAACAUUUUUUGUGAUUAACAUUUACCUUAGCAGAGCUGUACAUGAUCUGGAAUUCUAAAGAGGGACUUAAGAAGUUCGUUUUCAGUACUGUUUCAGUACUGUUUAAGUUUUCAGUACUGUUUCACUACUGUUUCAGUACUCUUUAAGUUUCCACUGAGAAGAAUAGUGUCUUCAAUGUGGGUCUUACAAAAUGAUUGGAUGAUACUGAUAGAAAACUGGCUCCAUAUAUUCUGAGCGAGCUUGAUUGAAGAACCCACACGUCCUAAUCCCGUGUGGAAAACUAGAAAAGCACAAAGUUCUGAGAUCAGAGGCUUACACGAGUCAUUCCUUCCUGGACUCAACUCUCAGAUCUCUACAACUUCUGCACUGUCUGACCCUGGUCAUGUAAUUUUCGUUCCCAGGUCUUUGUUUCCUCAUCUAGAAAACAGGCCUCACAUCAAAGAUAUCACAUGUCUAACACUCAUUUGGUCUAGCCAGCUGUAAGUACUAAAUAAUGCUGGACAUUAUUAUAUAGAAAUUAGAUAAAGGACUGUCUCCUUAUUUAUGUUUAUAGCACAAGUAAUUUUAGGUAUCUCUCCAUUUUAGUUCUUACUAUAUGUAUUCAGUGGGAACUAACUGGCUCUGCACUAGUGUCAUCUCCCAGCCCUGAGCAGGCACUGAAAGGGAAUGGCUUUCUGAGCUUCUGAACAGGUAAUUUCACAGACAGCUAGUACAAUGGCAGCCACUCAAUGUGCAGAACUUCUCCCACAUCUUGAUGAUGUGAAAUGAAGUUUUCAUUGAUACACACUAUGAACUUACUAGCUGUCUUUUCCUUAAGUCACUUAACAAAUCACCCUGAUUAUCUGUAUUCACCUCUGGGAUUAGGAAGAGGGAAAGGAAAGUUGUUGAGAAGGUAGACACUUCUGUGGUUCGAGAAGGGGAGGAUGGCUAACUUGGCUGCUCAGUAAUUAGUUUCCUAUUAAGAAGCAAGUCCUUGAGAAUGUACUUUCUCCACAUCAGGUUUUAACAGAAAUUUUCAGUAGAGGUUGAUGUCAUUGGGGAUUAGAACAAGAAUGCAUCCCAGCAUAAGUACUAGGAAGUGAGGAAUUUUCAGAGGACCUGAGAAGUGAAUGCAGAAUUUACCAGUCUGGUCAUAGACUCUCUUCACUCUUAAGGUGAAUUAAAACCAAAUAAUAUUUGUUGAGUGCAAAUGAAAAGAUACAGAAGUAGCACAUACUAAAGUAAUAGUGGAGUGAAUUUCAAAGGAUAUUAGUCCAUUUUCUAUUGCCAAUAAUACAAUACCAAAGAUUGUGCAAGUUUUAAAGAAAAGUGGGUUUUUGGGGCUCAUGGUUCUGGAUGUUUAAGGUUGAGGGAUCUCAUCUGGUGAUGGCUUUCUUGGUAGCAGAGUCCCAAGGUGGUACAGAGCAUCACAUGGCAGGGCAGAGGGAGUAGAAGUGUCUCUCUAUAUGUGUGAUCUCUCUCCUUCCUCUUAAAAAGCCACCAGUAUCCAAUCAGGGUACAUCCACCCUGACAACUUUAUCUAAUCCUAAUCCCUUCCCAAGGGCCCCACAUCAUCAGAGUCAGGUUAGAUUUUCAGUCUCUUAAUACUUCACAAGGUAAUUAUGUUUCCAGAUGAAUUUUCAGAGGGGACAAACCAUAUUCAAAUUAUAGCCUAUGGCUUCAACAGCCAGAUCUGGGUCAGCCUGAAGUGAAAAUUCUGGAACUCCAUCCAGGUCUCCCACAUAGGUGGUGAGGACCUAAGCACUGUGGCUAUCAUCCACUGCUUCCCACGAUGCACAUUAGCUGGAAGCCAAGUAACUGGGAGUCGAAGCAGCACACCCAUGUGGGAUGCCAGCAUCACAAGUGGCUUCUUAACCUGCUGCACCGCAAUGCCGACCUCAGUAGCUUGUGUAUUCUUUUUUUUUUUUUUUUUUUUUUUUGACAGGCAGAGUUAGACAGUGAGAGAGAGAGACAGAAAGAAAGGUCUUCCUUCCAUUGCUUCACAUCAAAAAUGGCCACCACGGCCGGCGCUGCGCUGAUCCGAAGCCAGGAGCCAGGUGCUUCCUCCUGGUCUCCCUUGGGAGUGCAGGGGCCCAAGCACCUGGGCCAUCCUCCGCUGCCCUCCCGGACCACAGCAGAGAGCUGGACUGCAAGAGGAGCAACUGGGACUAGAACCCGGUGCCCAUAUGGGAUGCCAGCGCCGUAGGCAGAGGAUUAACCAAGCGAACCACGGUGCCAGCCCCAGCUUGCAUAUUCUUAUAAGAGAAUUCCACUUAGUUCUUAAGCCACUUUGGAUUGACAUACUGAAGGCCCGAAAUGCCUGAGGGUUUAUAUG